GAGUAGUAAAAGUUAAAAUCUUCAAACUCAAAAGAUUUGGCGGUAUUUUAUAUAAUUAGAGGAACCUGUUUAUUAAUUGAUAAUCCACAACUGGGCUUACUUUUAUUAUUUUAUUUGUAUACCGCUGUCAUGAAUAUAUUUAUAAAUACACUUUUUAAUUUUAUUAAAUUAUAUGUUAGGUCAAGGUGCAGUUUAUAAGGAUUAAAAUGGGUUACAUUAAAAAUUAUGGAUGUAUAAAAGAGGAUUUAAAAGUAAACUUAUACAGUAAUAAUGUGAAUUUAUAUUCUAAAAUAUG
rnacentral:rRNA from 1 species